CCUACGGGGUGCAGCAGUGAGGAAUAUUGGUCAAUGGACGAGAGUCUGAACCAGCCAAGUAGCGUGAAGGAUGACUGCCCUAUGGGUUGUAAACUUCUUUUAUAUGGGAAUAAAAUGUUCCACGUGUGGGAUUUUGUAUGUACCAUAUGAAUAAGGAUCGGCUAACUACGUGCCAGCAGCCGCGGUAAUACGGAGUAUCCGAGCGUUAUCCGGGUUUAUUGGGUUUAAAGGGAGCGUAGGUGGAUUGUUAAGUCAGUUGUGAAAGUUUGCGGCUCAACCGUAAAACUGCAGGUGAAACUGGGCGUCUUGAGUGCAGUAGAGGUGGGCGGAAUUCGUGGUGUAGCGGUGAAAUGCUUAGAUAUCACGAAGAACUCCGAUUGCGAAGGCAGCUCGCUGGACUGCAACUGACACUGAGGCUCGAAAGUGUGGGUAGCAAACAGGAUUAGAUACCCGUGUAGUC
rnacentral:rRNA from 1 species